ensembl:lncRNA
CUGAAAUUCAACAUAGUUGUUUAUUUAAGCUGUGAAUAUUUAAAUUCAAAACAUUUCACACACAUUUCCAUACUUUAAAAAUUCUAUAAUUCAUAUUCACCUUCCAGAGUUCACUUCUGAAAUACGAUGUAUAAUAUUAGACAGGUAAUGUUCAGUCCAUUUUAUUUUGUCUUAUUUCACAAGAGGUACAUUCCUUUCCGUUCGUUUAAUUUAGUCCUUUGUGAACAAUAACAUACCACCACAGUGACACUUGGUAACAUUUCAACACAGCACAGAAGUCUAAUUGUCAUGUAUGACCUCAGUAUAAUAGUCUAAUCAUGAUGUAUAACAUCUUCACAUACUCUAAAUAUGCAUUAAAGUCUAUUGUAAAGGCUAGUAAAUUCCAAAUAAUAUCCAAAUGGAUUGAUAACUGAAACAUGUUGAGCAGCAAGAAGCACUUUGCUUGAGGGCACAGUGGUGAUGUCCAGUUUCUUCUUGAGAUCGAACCUGAAACAUUCAUAUUAGCAGCCUGGAAAGUUAACCGUUAGGCUACGGCCAUCAUGCUAAUAUAUAAUAUAUGACCUACUAUGCAUCGGGAAACAGUUCAGAAAAUGAGCCGAGUCUACAAAAUCUAUGACAGUUUUUGACCACUCACUUUAAGAAACAUCCACAGAGCAUUUCUAGUAUUUCUAUACACCUAAACAGUGUAAAAUAAAUAUAUAAAAUUCUAUCAAUUGACAAAGUCACAUUUCAAUCUGUUUUUUAUUUCUUUUUAUUUUUUUAUUAAUGUGGCAAUGACGGUCACUUUGACAGUGUCGAAAUACCACCACAUAUGCAAGAAAACGGUUUCAAUGCCAAGAUUUGGAGCAAGUCAGAUAAGCUUGCAUUACAUGUUUCAAAGUGAGACCUCGAUAAAUUCACGUUCCCACUUUCAUUUUAAACUGACGUGUUUUUGUAGGGCAGUGGUCUGCUUAAGGGAUAGUUCACCCGAAAAUCUAAUUUAUUGAAAAUUUACUCACACUCUAAAAAAU